UACGUAGGGUGCGAGCGUUAAUCGGAAUUACUGGGCGUAAAGCGUGCGCAGGCGGUUUUGUAAGUCCGAUGUGAAAGCCCCGGGCUUAACCUGGGAAUGGCAUUUGGGACUGCAAGGCUAGAGUGCGGCAGAGGAGACUGGAAUUCCUGGUGUAGCAGUGAAAUGCGUAGAUAUCAGGAGGAAUACCGAUGGCGAAGGCAGGUCUCUGGGCUGACACUGACGCUCAUGCACGAAAGCGUGGGGAGCGAACAGG
rnacentral:rRNA from 1 species